CCUCCCUCUCUUUUCUUAUUCAAAUGAAAUUGCUCUCCCGUGUUUAUUUCACUACACAUUUUCCCUACAAAAGCAUUUUCUUCCCUUUCCCUUCCCUUUGGCAAGCACAAGUUCUACAUGCAUCAAGAGACAAAAGUUGGCUUUAUUCAUUGUUUUCUAACUCUGGCAUUCGAGUCUCACUGAACAGCUUUCUGGACUUUGUAAAAAACUUGUUGCGGGUCACCAUUGGCAGCAAAGAACAAAAUCACUUCCAACAAACAGGAAACAAGGAAGAAAAUGGAAUCGGGAAGCCUUGCGAAUGAGCAGGUAAUAGAUGCAGACUACUUCCUUAACGAUCUGCUCCAGAAUCUUUCCUGGUAUUGAUGUCAGGCUGACUGGAUGGUUUUAUAAACUUCUGUGAUCUGCGAUCUUCUCUCAUUCAAGUGAAGAACUUUAAAAGAAGCCAAGGGGGCAUAUUCAUCUUUGAAUAUUAACUGGUGGUCUGUGGGCUGCAUAGGUGAACAUAGACCUAGACCUAUAACAGAGUCUCAGCAAUCUUCAAAUUUGCAAAGAGGCAGACUGAGCAAGAGACACAGCAAGAAAUUUAAAUCUCUCGUCCCUGCCUCCCAACAUCUACUGAUCAUUCUAGGUGGUGAGGAUGAAACCCUCUCCCAUUCCACAGCAAUCGCUACAAAGAAAACACCAAUCCGGGAAGGCAAGGGUCAGCAUUUUUAUGAUUCUAUUAAAAUGUAUUGGAUAAAAUCAA